UACCAGCUCUCCGAGUGGUAGGGAUGAUUAUUGGGCUUAAAGCGUCCGUAGCCGGCUUAGCAAGUCUCCUGUUAAAUUCAGCGACCUAAUCGUUGAGCCGCGGGAGAUACUACUAGGCUAGGAGGCGGGAGAGGUCAACGGUACUUCCGGGGUAGGGGUGAAAUCCUAUAAUCCCGGGAGGACCACCAGUGGCGAAGGCUGUUGACUAGAACGCGCUCGACGGUGGGGGACGAAAGCUGGGGGAGCGAACCGGAUUAGAUACCCGGGUAGUCCCAGCUGUAAACGAUGCGAGCUAGGUGUUGGGGUGGCUACGUGCCACUUCAGUGCCGCAGGGAAGCCAUUAAGCUCGCCGCCUGGGGAGUACGGCCGCAAGGCUGAAACUUAAAGGAAUUGGCGGGGGAGCACCACAAGGCGUGAAGCUUGCGGUUC
rnacentral:rRNA from 1 species